rnacentral:misc_RNA from 1 species
UUAAGUUCAGCGGGUAGUCCUACCUGAUUUGAGGUCAAAAUGUCAAAAAUUGUCCAAGUCAAUGGACGGUUAGAAGCUGAACCCCAUGUAAAGCUGUUUCACAACCAUGGCGUAGAUAAUUAUCACACCAAAAGCUGGUCCACAAAGGUUCCGCUAAUGCAUUUAAGAGGAGCCGACUUCUGAGAAGCCCGCAAACCCCC